UACGAAGGUGGCAAGCGUUGUUCGGAUUUACUGGGCGUACAGGGAGCGUAGGCGGUUCGGUAAGCCCUCUGUGAAAUCUCCAGGCUUAACCUGGAACAGUCGGAGGGGACUGCUGGGCUAGAGGACGGGAGAGGAGCGCGGAAUUCCCGGUGUAGCGGUGAAAUGCGUAGAGAUCGGGAGGAAGGCCGGUGGCGAAGGCAGCCUCCUGGGCCAAUACUGACGCUCAUGCACGAAAGCGUGGGGAGCAAACAGG
rnacentral:rRNA from 1 species